CCUACGGGUGGCAGCAGUAGGGAAUCUUCCACAAUGGGCGAAAGCCUGAUGGAGCAACGCCGCGUGGGUGAAGAAGGUCUUCGGAUCGUAAAACCCUGUUGUUAGAGAAGAAAAUGCGUGAGAGUAACUGUUCACGUAUCGACGGUAUCUAACCAGAAAGCCACGGCUAACUACGUGCCAGCAGCCGCGGUAAUACGUAGGUGGCAAGCGUUAUCCGGAUUUAUUGGGCGUAAAGGGAACGCAGGCGGUCUUUUAAGUCUGAUGUGAAAGCCUUCGGCCUAACCGGAGUAGUGCAUUGGAAACUGGGGGACUUGAGUGCAGGAGAGGAAGGUGGAACUACAUGUGUAGCGGUGAAAUGCGUAGAUAUAUGGAAGAACACCAGUGGCGAAGGCGGCUUACUGGUCUGUAACUGACGCUGAGGUUCGAAAGCGUGGGUAGCAAACAGGAUUAGAUACCCUUGUAGUC
rnacentral:rRNA from 1 species